UUAAAGAUCACAGAUAAUCCAAAACUCAGUGCCAAGUUCUCUAUUUAUAAUCGAGGAAUUAUUCACACAGAGGUAAACAAGAGCAAAGGACUGACAAGUGAACUGGAGGAGGAGAAUGAUGGGAAACAGACUGAGGGACCCAUACAUCUGCAUGCCUUCAACAGGCCUGGGUUCUCACCAGCACUCACUCAACCUUGGAUCCAGAGAACCCUUGAUGUUUUCCAGUCCCAGAAUCCUCUGGGACAGGCUGCCCAGAUGGCUGUUGGGAGUGAGCUGGCGAUCUUAAGCAGAGGCAGCCUAGUUCAGGGCCCUGGGUGCCAAGAUAGUCUCCAGAGACUCUUCUCCCCUCAGGGCCUCAGUCUAGACUCUGAGGAGAGCUCCCCCCAUUGACACCAUCAGGACCUCCAGCACUGGCUUAAGUGGCUUCCCUGUCCACUGCAGCAUUUGAUUUCAAGCUACAUGUGAAAAAACAGAGUCAUUGAGAGAAAGCAACUCACUGAAGGUCACGUGGGAAACAGCACAGAUAGGAAGAACCAGGCCUCCGAGUCACAGAAAGAUCUUCCAUUCAUCGGAUGAUGGAUUUCUACAGGCUGCAAGAAGACAAAGAACACAAGUGACAAGACACCUAGAAAAAGAUGUUCAAGACCUACAUGAAGCCCACCCAGGGUUCUCUUUGAAACUAUUGUUUGUUGAAGUUAUGGGGAAUAAAGUUUACACUCCCAUUA